rnacentral:lncRNA from 8 species
AUGUCAGCGAUGAGUGUGGAAAUCAGCAAUCUGAAAGAGAGAAAUGAAAACCUCCAGAAAGCCAAGCUAAGGUUCCAGCCACAGAUCCAAGGGUUAGACACCACAGCGUCUAACUGUUUAGAGAAGACCACGUCAGAGAGUGGGGAGCCUCUUCUAUUGGAGAGAGACAUGCAGCGGGGAUCAUCAUCACCACCACCCCGCUGGGAAGAUGGAAUGUUCCUGGCUAGGCAGGUGCAGAUCGGCAGCCCUGAACUUGAGGGGGAGGAAGAGGAUGGAGGCUGUGGCUGAUGCAUACUACAGAUGGGUCAUACCUGGUCCUAAUUUUCUCCCUACCCCCUUCCCCUUGGCGCUUAACUACUUCAAGGUUGUCAGAUCUGAAGCAUCUAUAUACGUAGAAGCAGUAUUGUUGUAGAGCUUCCACUAUAUUGCUUCCACCCCUACAGACCUGCAAACAUUGAAGCUAAUGGAGUCCUCCGUCUUUGUGUGAAGUCUGACUAUAGUCAUGCAGUGAUACAAAUCCUAAAAAGGUCUUACAAACCAGUGUUAAUGUCAAUCUACUGAUUAGUGGUUGUAAAAUGUGGUGCUUUUGUUGAUGAUUAACGAUGAAACAGGAAGUGAAAUGUGUUCCAUUUGAUAAUAGUGAGAUGAUGACAAAAGAGGAUGAUUUUCUAUAAUACGCCUACGCUAUAUAAGCUAAUGAUCCAAAUGCAUACAUAUAGGGCUGUGUAAUAGUAGCAAUGUUAAUGUGGCUAAUGCAUACAUAUAGGGCUGUGUAAUAGUAGCAAUGUUAAUGUGGCUAAUGCAUACAUAUAGGGCUGUGUAAUAGUAGCAAUGUUAAUGUGGCUAAUACAUAAAAACUAAAAUGUUACCACAUACAACAUAACAUUUCUGGAGGUUUGUGAUUUCCUCAUUUUGUUGUAAUUAAAAAUGAUUGCGUUUAAACUCACAUGAUUGUUUGCAAUUGAUUUAGAUGAGAACGAUCUGUCAUCCAAUUCCAAGAAUAAGGACAAAUGUAAGAUCUCAUUAGUCUUGGGUUGAACAACACUUUUAUUUCAGAUAAUGUACAACUCACAAAGCUACAAAAAUAAUUGUAGGCAGUGUAAUCCACUCGUAUGAUAUGAGGCCUUAUUAUUUAUAUACAUACAUACAUACAUACAUACAUACAUACAUACAUACAUACAUACAUACAUACAUACAUACAUACAUACAUACAUACAUACAUACAUACAUACACAAACAUCAUUACAUAUAGUGCAUACAGUUGUGGCCAAAGGUUUUGAGAAUGACACAAAUAUUAAUUUUCACUAAGUCUGCUGCCUCAGUUUGUAUGAUGGCAAUUUGCAUAUACUCCAGAAUGUUAUGAAGAGUGAUCAGAUGAAUUGCAAAGUCCCUCUUUGCCAUGCAAAUGAACUGAUUCCCCCCAAAAACAUUUACACUGCAUUUGAGCCCUGCCACAAAAGGACCAGCUGACAUCAUGUAUACAGAGAAGAGAGUCGGCCCGAGAAUUGAACCCUGUGGCACUCCCAUAGAGACUGUCAGAGGUCCGGACAACAGGCCCUCCAAUUUGACAUACUGAACUCUAUCGGAGAAGUAGUUGGUGAACCAAGCGAGGCAAUCAUUUGAGAAACCAAGGCUGUCGAGUCCGCCAAUAAGAAUGUUGUGAUUGACAGAGUCGAAAGCCUUAGCCAGGUCGAUGAAUACGGCUGCACAGUAAUGUCCCUUAUCGAUGGCGGUUAUGAUAUCGUUUAGGACCUUGAGCGUGGCUGAGGUGCACCCAUGACCAGCUCGGAAACCAGAUUGCAUAGCGGAGAAGGUACGGUGGGAUUCGAAAUGGUCGGUAAUCUGUUUGUUAACUUGGCUUUCAAAGACCUUAGAAAGGCAGGGUAGAAUAGAUAUAGGUCUGUAGCAGUUUGGGUUUAGAGUGUCUCCCCCUUUGAAGAGGGGGAUGACCGCGGCAGCUUUCCAAUCUUUGGGGAUCUCAGACGAUACGAAAGAGAGUUUGAACAGGCUAGUAAAAAAGGUUGCAACAAUUUCGGCAGAUCAUUUUAGAAAGAGAGGGUCCAGAUUGUCAAGCCCGGCUGAUUUGUAGGGGUCCAGAUUUUGCAGCUCUUUCAGAACAUC